UACGUAGGGGGCUAGCGUUGUCCGGAAUCAUUGGGCGUAAAGAGCGUGUAGGCGGCCCGGUAAGUCCGCUGUGAAAGUCCAGGGCUCAACCCUGGGAUGCCGGUGGAUACUGUCGGGCUCGAGUCCGGAAGAGGAGUGUGGAAUUCCUGGUGUAGCGGUGAAAUGCGGCAGAAUAUCAGGAGGAACACCAAUGGCGAAGGCAGCACUCUGGGACGUGACUGACGCUGAGACGCGAAAGCGUGGGGAGCAAACAGG
rnacentral:rRNA from 1 species